rnacentral:lncRNA from 1 species
UUUAAUGAUAAUUUUGUUUUUUUAUGCCAUGAUGUGAAUUGCAAUUUUGUGUGUUGAAAUGUUGUUAUUGUGUUCUUGAAAUCAAUGAAAUUCAUGAUUGUAUUUGUUAGUUUGUUUGAUUUGAUGAUAGAUUGAUGAGUAUGUGAUGAGUUAUAGUGGUAAAUUAACUUAAUGUGUUAGCAACUCGUAAAUAAGCUAUUUUGUUAUUAGGGAUCUAUUACCUUAAAGUUGUCAGAGUUACUACUUGAGUAAA